rnacentral:rRNA from 1 species
UACAGAGGUCUCAAGCGUUGUUCGGAUUCAUUGGGCGUAAAGGGUGUGUAGGUGGCGCCGUAAGUCGGGUGUGAAAUUUCGGAGCUUAACUCCGAAACUGCAUUCGAUACUGCGGUGCUUGAGGACUGGAGAGGAGACUGGAAUUCAUGGUGUAGCAGUGAAAUGCGUAGAGAUCAUGAGGAAGACCAGUGGCGAAGGCGGCUACCUGGCCCAAUACUGACACUCAGGUGCGACAGCGUGGGGAGCAAACAGG